AAAAAAGUCAAAUUAAGCAAAAAUAUCCAGAGCCUACUUCCAGCUUUUUAAGAUUAUAUCAACUUUCUGAAAUUCAUAUUCUGCCAGAUAAUUCGUUGGAAUAACAGAAGCUGAGGUGAUAGACCAACAGGCAGCCACCAGACUUUCUGAACUCUGGCUUUAAGAAAAAAUGCAGUGGGCACAGAAUGAAACAGAAGAGGAUCCUUCUGAAGAUGAGGAAGCCUUUUCGUUGUAUGUUUGAAGGAAUGCUAGCACAGGUUACUCAGAUGUUGUGGAAGCCUGUCUUUGGAAAUCUUCAGAAGCUACCUGGAUAUGGGUCUAGGCAACAUGCUCUGGGUGUCCCUGCUCUUGAAGCAGAUGAAUACAGAGAUAUUCUUUAACAUGAGCCAUUCUGUGAUUCUAUUAUUCAUGUGAAUGAGUAGCAAUAAUACACUUUGUUUGAAAGUCACUGUAAUGGUCAUGAAUCAGAGUUGGGGCUAAUAAUGAAGGAAGAAUGAAAGAAAUCAGUGUUCUUAAGUGUUGUGAAAAUCUGAGAGCUGUUUUGAAGAUCAUUACAUUUCUGUUUUGCUAGUUAAAAAUUACUGCCUAUAUGUCCUCUAUGAAACAAACAAACCACGCAUAACUAAAUAUUUGUUUGAAGCUUUGUAUCUAUUUGCAAUGCUGUAGGUUUUCUUACGUAAAAAUACAUCAAGAGUUUUACCAGACCCCAGAAGUCUUAUGGAUUUCAAUUACUUUCCUGCAUGCACACACAUAAACAAAUAAUGUAUGCUUUUAAUCUAACUUUCUAUGAAGGGGCAUGGUUUUAGAUCUUUGGUUUGUUUUUAUCAGCUCCUAACAUUUUCCAGUUAUGCAUAAAAUGGUUUGAAACCAGAGUGAAUAGCUUCAGUUAGUUUUUUCAUGUUAUACUCUUAGAUGACAUGUCUAAAAGCUUUGGAUAUGCCAACUCAUUAUUUCAUUUUAGAAAUUGGAUUUUGAGCCCUGGUCAUAACUGUCUGGCAAAUUUUUGUAGGAAAUCUGUAACUCAUUUCUGACUGUGUUCUUUUAUGUGUGGCAGAGCCAUUGUUCAGUUUGCUCGGGAUAAUAAACUGGUAGUGACA
rnacentral:lncRNA from 1 species